rnacentral:rRNA from 1 species
GAAGGUCACGGCGAGACGAGCCGUUUUUCAUUAACGAUAGGUGUCAAGUGGAAGUGCAGUAAUGUAUGCAGCUGAGGCAUCCUAACAGACCGGUAGACUUGAACCUUGUUCCUACCUUGCCUGAUCAAUUCGAUCAGGCAAUCGCCAUCUAUUUUGAUUGUUCUUUUCUAUUUCUUUUUUUCAUAUUUUCAUUGUUCAACUCUGUUUCAACAUGAAAAAACCAAAACCUCUGCCCCAUCCCUUGAAUAGCUAGGGAUGGAAGGGCAG